rnacentral:rRNA from 1 species
CGGCAGCACGGGGGGUAACUCCUGGUGGCGAGUGGCGAACGGGUGAGUAAUAUAUCGGAACGUGUCCUGUAGCGGGGGAUAACCUAUCGAAAGAUGGACUAAUACCGCAUACGCUCUACGGAGGAAAGCGGGGGUUCUUGGGCAACUGAGGACCUCGCACUAUAGGAGCGGCCGAUAUCGGAUUAGCUAGUUGGCGGGGUAAAAGCCCACCAAGGCGACGAUCCGUAGCUGGUCUGAGAGGUUGAUCAGCCACACUGGAACUGAGACACGGUCCAGACUCCUACGGGAGGCAGCAGUGGGGAAUUUUGGACAAUGGGCGCAAGCCUGAUCCAGCCAUGCCGCGUGAGUGAAGAAGGCCUUCGGGUUGUAAAGCUCUUUCAGCCGGAACGAAACGGUCACAGUUAAUACCUGUGACUACUGACGGUACCGGAAGAAGAAGCACCGGCUAACUACGUGCCAGCAGCCGCGGUAAUACGUAGGGGGCAAGCGUUGUCCGGAUUUAUUGGGCGUAAAGAGCGUGUAGGCGGCCAGGUAGGUGGGUUGUGAAAACUGGAGGCUCAACCUUCAGACGUCGACCCAAACCCCCUGGCUAGAGUCCGGAAGAGGAGAGUGGAAUUCCUGGUGUAGCGGUGAAAUGCGCAGAUAUCAGGAAGAACACC